ACUCAUGGUAGCUGAGUUAUGGGUAAAGCGCGUAUAGCUAUUUACUCUGUAUCAAGGGUCGAUGGUUCGAUUCCGUCCUGGAGCA